rnacentral:rRNA from 1 species
UAGUCUGGGAAACUGCCUGAUGGAGGGGGGUAACUACUGGAAACGGUAGCUAAUACCGCAUAAUGUCGCAAGACCAAAGUGGGGGGACCUUCGGGCCUCAUGCCAUCAGAUGUGCCCAGAUGGGAUUAGCUAGUAGGUGGGGUAAUGGCUCACCUAGGCGACGAUCCCUAGCUGGUCUGAGAGGAUGACCAGCCACACUGGAACUGAGACACGGUCCAG